AAAUAACCUAUUCCAAUAUGUUACUUGUCAUCCUAGCAAAAAAUAAUGGCAACCCGCAUCAAUUCUCUUAUUUUUAUCUUUGCAAUUAUGUGCAUUGCUUCAACCAUGGCUACAGAAGGUGGAUUGACAGGGAGAGGAAAAUGUGUUAUUAUGGGAGCAUGUCCAGAUGGAGCAAAACAGUGUUACGACUAUUGGAAGUCAAGAGGCUUCUCUAAAGGUGGCGAGUGUGUGAAAGAUACAAACUUUUGUUGUUACAUUACUUGAAAAUAUUUAUGUUGGAUAAUUGCACUUUUUCAAUAUGUUUAUACAAACAUAUCGACAAUAAAGUCUUUAUGAAAUUCACAAAAAUAAGAUAAAAAAAAAGUGUAAUUUCAAUUGAAAAUAAUAGUACUAUGAUUUAUAAUGUAAAUAAAAAGUUAUGUUUUAACAUAGUAAA